GAUGAACGCUGGCGGCGUGCCUAAUACAUGCAAGUCGAGCGAACGGACGAGAAGCUUGCUUCUCUGAUGUUAGCGGCGGACGGGUGAGUAACACGUGGAUAACCUACCUAUAAGACUGGGAUAACUUCGGGAAACCGGAGCUAAUACCGGAUGAUAUUUUGAACCGCAUGGUUCAAAAGUGAAAGACGGUCUUGCUGUCACUUAUAGAUGGAUCCGCGCUGCAUUAGCUAGUUGGUAAGGUAACGGCUCACCAAGGCAACGAUGCAUGGCCGACCUGAGAGGGUGAUCGGCCACACUGGAACUGAGACACGGUCCAGACUCCUACGGGAGGCAGCAGUAGGGAAUCUUCCGCAAUGGGCGAAAGCCUGACGGAGCAACGCCGCGUGAGUGAUGAAGGUCUUCGGAUCGUAAAACUCUGUUAUUAGGGAAGAACAUAUGUGUAAGUAACUGUGCACAUCUUGACGGUACCUAAUCAGAAAGCCACGGCUAACUACGUG
rnacentral:rRNA from 1 species